GACGAACGCUGGCGGCGUGCUUAACACAUGCAAGUCGAACGGAAAGGCCCUGCUUGCCGGGUACUCGAGUGGCGAACGGGUGAGUAACACGUGGGUGAUCUGCCCUGCACUUCGGGAUAAGCCUGGGAAACUGGGUCUAAUACCGGAUAGGAGCCAUUUUUAGUGUGAUGGUUGGAAAGUUUUUUCGGUGUAGGAUGAGCUCGCGGCCUAUCAGCUUGUUGGUGGGGUAAUGGCCUACCAAGGCGGCGACGGGUAGCCGGCCUGAGAGGGUGGACGGCCACAUUGGGACUGAGAUACGGCCCAGACUCCUACGGGAGGCAGCAGUGGGGAAAAUUGCACAAUGGGCGCAAGCCUGAUGCAGCGACGCCGCGUGGGGGAUGACGGCCUUCGGGUUGGAAACUCCUUUCGCUAGGGACGAAGCUUUUUGUGACGGUACCUAGAUAAGAAGCACCGGCUAACUACGUG
rnacentral:rRNA from 1 species